GACAGAGGGUGCAAACGUUGUUCGGAAUUACUGGGCGUAAAGCGUGCGCAGGCGGCUCUUUAAGUCUCGUGGUCAAAUGCCGGGGCUCAACCCCGAGCGUGCCGGGGAUACUGGAGGGCUGGAGACAGGUAGAGGCAAGCGGAAUUCCGGGUGUAGCGGUGGAAUGCGUAGAGAUCCGGAAGAACACCGGAGGCGAAGGCGGCUUGCUGGACCUGGUCUGACGCUGAGGCGCGAAAGCGUGGUGAGCGAACAGG
rnacentral:rRNA from 1 species